GCACCACAAGAGCGUGGAGUAUGUGGCUUAAUUUGACUCAACGCGGAAAAGCUUAUCUGGUCCGGACGCAGUGAGGAUUGACAGACAGUUUCAGGAGUGGUUCUUGGUAAACAAUUGAGAGAGUUGAAGUUCUUUCAUGAUCUUGUGAGAGGUGGUGCAUGGCCGUUCUUAGUUCGUGUAGUGAUAUGUCUGCCUAAUCGCGUCACGAUAACCUAUUGGUCGACAACCCAAUUAUCACAACUGCAGCAUAACUCCCCUUGGGUGGGCGAGGCUCUGUGUAGGAUAGACCUCUGAACAGUACGCAACGAACGCGAUCGUAAUCCCUUGUUGAGUGGCCAUCCUGUAAGCUGCUGGAUUAGGAACCCAGUGGUAUUAUCUCAGCCACAGAUUUUCUGGUUGUAAUGGGCCAGUUUUGAAACUCGGGGAACAUCUGUGACUUUCUUUCUUAACGCA
rnacentral:rRNA from 1 species